rnacentral:lncRNA from 8 species
AUGGGAACCCAGAUAGUCCACAUAGAGAAACCCUGUCUCCUCCUACUGGGGGGGGAAAUACCGAGUCCAGAUGGGAACCCAGAUAGUCCACAUAGAGAAACCCUGUCUCCUCCUACUGGGGGGGAAAUACCGAGUCCAGAUGGGAACCCAGAUAGUCCACAUAGAGAAACCCUGUCUCCUCCUACUGGGGGGGAAAUACCGAGUCCAGAUGGGAACCCAGAUAGUCCACAUAGAGAGAAACCCUGUCUCCUCCUACUGGGGGGGAAAUACCGAGUCCAGAUGGGAACCCAGAUAGUCCACAUAGAGAGGAACCCUGUCUCCUCCUACUGGGGGGAAAUACCGAGUCCAGAUGGGAACCCAGAUAGUCCACAUAGAGAAACCCUGUCUCCUCCUACUGGGGGGGAAAUACCGAGUCCAGAUGGCAACCCAGAUAGUCCACAUAGAGGAACCCUGUCUCCUCCUACUGGGGGGGAAAUACCGAGUCCAGAUGGGAACCCAGAUAGUCCACAUAGACAAACCCUGUCUCCUCCUACUGGGGGGGAAAUACCGAGUCCAGAUGGGAACCCAGAUAGUCCACAUAGAGAAACCCUGUCUCCUCCUACUGGGGGGGAAAUACCGAGUCCAGAUGGGAACCCAGAUAGUCCACAUAGAGAAACCCUGUCUCCUCCUACUGGGGGGGAAAUACCGAGUCCAGAUGGGAACCCAGAUAGUCCACUUAGAGGAACCCUGUCUCCUCCUACUGGGGGGGAAAUACCGAGUCCAGAUGGGAACCCAGAUAGUCCACUUAGAGAAACCCUGUCUCCUCCUACUGGGGGGGAAAUACCGAGUCCAGAUGGGAACCCAGAUAGUCCACAUAGAGAAACCCUGUCUCCUCCUACUGGGGGGGAAAUACCGAGUCCAGAUGGGAACCCAGAUAGUCCACAUAGAGAAACCCUGUCUCCUCCUACUGGGGGGGAAAUACCGAGUCCAGAUGGGAACCCAGAUAGUCCACAUAGAGAAACCCUGUCUCCUCCUACUGGGGGGGAAUACCGAGUCCAGAUGGGAACCCAGAUAGUCCACAUAGAGAAACCCUGUCUCCUCCUACUGGGGGGGGGAAAUACCGAGUCCAGAUGGGAACCCAGAUAG